UACAUGUGGGGCAAGCGUUGUUCGGAAUUACUGGGCAUAAAGGGUGCGUAGGCGGCGCGUCAAGUCACUGGUGAAAGUUUGCGGCCCAACCGUAAAGUUGCCGGCGAUACUGGCGUGCUCGAGUGCGUGAGGGGUUGGGGGAACGAGUGGUGUAGCGGUGAAAUGCGUAGAGAUCACUCGGAAGGCCAGAGCCGAAGGGGCCCAACUGGUACGCAACUGACGCUGAGGCACGAAAGCGUGGGGAGCAAACAGG
rnacentral:rRNA from 1 species